CCUGACUGUCUUAUCUUCAGUCUCUGAGACCUCCUUAAAGAGCUCCUCAGAAUAGCAAGAGACCUCAUCACAUUUGCAAAUGUCAGCCCAUUCGAACCACUGCAAGAAAAGAAUGAGAAAUUUUAACUCCCCUAAAUGAGAGUUCCUCUCAGUGGUCUGGCUUCAGAGAUCACUAUAUUCGAUGGCCUUAAAUGAUUUAGGAGUUAUUCAACUGUCAGUUCUGAUGGACUGAUUUGGUGUCAGGAGAGGAGUUAUUUGCACGUUAAGAGCAUUCUUCUAUAUUCAAGAUCAGCAGAAAGAUGAUCCUCUGUCCUAAGAGUUCCAGGAAAAGCUGUGGAAUUGAAUCUUUUAGAAAUGGUUUGUGUCAGGCACUCCUUCCUUCUUGGCCGGCAGAUAGACAUGCUUAACGCCUAGGCUGGAGUUCCAUGCCCCUCCUGAAGCCUAGCUAUAUGGGGGAAUAAGCCAAUUUGAACUACCUGGACUAAAAGGUAGAGGGGAA
rnacentral:lncRNA from 1 species